rnacentral:lncRNA from 1 species
GUUCCUCAGUUGCAGUGAGAUGUGAGGCACUUGCAGAGACUCAGUCCACCACCCUGGGCAGCUUUCACCACCCUGGGCAGCUUUUCCGAGACGUAGGGACUGGCUUGCCGUAAUUCAUAGCUUCUGCUGUCCCUUGCUACAUACCUGAUUUUCUGUUUACUUUUGCUCAGAAGCUUGACAAAAAUGUCCUUAGAUCCUAGAUGAAAAUGAGACCAGAAGAUGGAAGAAUCUGGAUCUCAAAAGGUAACCUGCCAACAAAGAACACCCAUAUUGAACUGUCACAUAAAUAAGAAAUCAAUUUCUAUUG